AUAAAUAAAAACAGAGAUUAAGAAUAAAUAACUAAAUAAAUUAAAUAUUUCUAUAUACUUAAACAUAAACAUGCAAAUACAGAUUUGUGUGUUUGCAUGUAAAUAUGCAAGCAUUAUCUACACGUAUAAACCAUAAUCUAUUUUAUACCAUUUUACACAAUUGGGAUAAUUUUGCAUAUAAUAUUUUGCAUUAUUCACUCUCCAUUAAGUGUUCUUCUGUGAGUGUUUUCUCAGGAUAUUAAUAAUUUUUGAGAAUGUUUUUUUCAUUAAAAUUGCAGGCAUAAUUUUCAAUCAUGGCUGUAUUUUAAUUUGCAUAAAUUGGAACCUAUUUUUGGAUUUAUUUUUUUUCCAUUUUUAGCUAUUGUGAAUCAUGCUGGGAGAAACACCUUUGUGUAAGAAUUUUGUCCAUAGUUUGACUUGUUUCUUUGAAAUGGAGUUUUAGAAGUGUAGUGACUUUGUUGACGUGAAUAGCUUUUCUUACAGAACUUAAAUAUUUCCCGCAUUGCUUUUCAGAAUUUCCGUACAGCUUAACAUGUCCCUCACCAGUAUACAAGAGAGCCAACCUCACCUUAUCCUUGUUCACCCUGAGUAUUGUCAUUACAAAGAGGCAUUGGCUUAUUUAACAAUGAAAGUAAUAUUAAGAACAUAGGAUUAACAUAUACACAUUACUAUAAGUAAGAGAUAAACAAUAAGGACCUACCAUAUGGCCCAGGGAACUAACUUUGAUGUCUUGUAAUAACCUGUAAUUGAAAUCAUUUUGUUGUACAUCUGAAACUAACACAGUAUUAUAAAUCAACUAUAUUUUAGUUUUUUUAAAGUAUAGAUUUUAUUGCAAUUUGUAGCUCUUUGGUAUUAAAAUUGAUUCUUUUGCUAUAUAUGUUUAUUAGCAAUUUGUUUUUCUUUUUGCAUGACUUAUCUAUAGUUGUUCCUUCAUACAUUUUUAUUUACUGAUAGUAGCUUUUUAUUUAUCAGCUGUGGCCAUAUUUUCUUUUGAUAUUGUGAGGGAUUCUUUUAGGACUGAGUGAAUGAGUUUAAGAGACUUGAUUUUAUGACAGCACUUUUGGGUGUUCAGAAGAGUUCUGAUUUACUUCUGGGCUCUGGCUUUAUUAGAAAGAGUUGAUGCUAGUAUGCUGGUAAAAAAAAAAUGUUUAUGCAAAUGCAUGGCAUAUUUUGUUUUGUAUAAUAAUUAAAGGUCAGAUUUAUGCUUUGCUAAAAUCAUCAAUUUUUUUCAGAAGCUGUUUCAGGGAUAUAAGAUAAAUUGUUUUUAACUUUCUCUUUUGUUUUAGCUGCGUAUUUCAGCUUCUAUCUAUGAUGUGCCAAAACCAGAUCUCUAUUUAUGAUAUAGAAUAUCAAACCCAGAGAUGAUAAGUGACUUGGCUAGUAUAUCAUUAAGUAUCUGAAUUCAAAUUCUUUACCUUUUCUCUUACACCAAUUUCCUAUUCUUACAAAUAAUAAUGCAUAUUAUAUGCUUUGGCAUUUUCUGACAAUUUAAAUAUGUUUCAAUAGUGUGACUCAACCUUCUAUAGGAACAUCUUACAGAAUUAUCUUUAAAUAACUGUAGCAGAAAUAAAUAUUCCCAGACUUAAAGUUGCAGUGGAAUAAGUGAGAACAGUGCUUAGUUUAGACUUUCAGAAAAUUAAAAUUAUACACCAUGAAACUCCACACUUAGAUCUGCAAUUAAAAACGUACUUCUUUAUUCAGAAAAUGAUUAUUUUUAUUUCAAAAGAAGAGAAAGCUAAUUAACUAAAUUCCAAGGAAUCUAGCAAAAUUCUCAUUUGUUCCAGUUUUACAAAUCUAUCUCAAAAUCUUAUAUGACUGGUUCUUCUACUAAAAAAAAAAAAAAAAAAAAAAAAAAAAAUGAAAGUACAAAUGAAGGAAACUUGUUUUAAGAAAAAUAGAGGGAGAGGGAAUCAAGGUCUUGAAAAUAAUGGCUUAAAAAAUACCUACAUUGGGGGGGGGAAAGGAAAAUAAAACAACUAUUUUUGAAGAGAAUAAAUUAUUGAUUUAAAAAUCCACAUUUUUUGGUUUGUAUGCGGGGAUUUUAAUAAAGCUAAUUCUGGCACAUGCUCUCUUAUGCCAAUAAACCUAGUGGCGAAAGUAAGCAGCUGGGGCCUCCUGGAUGCCUGGUUCUCAGAAGGCCAAGAGCAUCAGCGGUCCUCAAGGCAGCACAUGACUGUCCAUCUUCUGGGAUCAGGCCACUAAGGGAGUCCUUUUCCAAGACUCUCCUCGUAACUGGAUCCAGUUCUUUUGUCCAUCUUUGCCUUCCCCCACAAAUCUGUGACCCUUGGCAGGAUUCUGGGGGUGGCUGGGAGCAUCAGGGCUGUUGGCCUUGCCUCUCCCAAAUCAUGGGGCCCAGACCAAGGACAGUACUGCAGCAAAAGCCAUGCCCAGCGAUGGAACUGUCCCACGUGUAUAUUCAUAACUCACACUCAAUUAGGGCCCCAGGGAAGGUGGGAAAGCCAGCCUUGUCUUGUCAGUCUCAGAGAAAACCAUCUUAUGACUAUUUCAUCUUUUUUCAUUAGCUCAGUUCAGCCCAGGCUGGGCCCACUCCCUGCUCCCCCCGCAUCCCUCCCCUAAGCGCCUGGCCUGUCACCGCCAGCUGCCUCUUCCACGGAAGAGCUUUUGGGAGGGGAGAAAGUGUAGGAAGAUUCAAGUUAAUAAGUAUUGUGACCUUGGAGGUCUAAAGAUUUCCUCUUCCCCACAAGAGCUGUGUACAAAGCCCAAAGGAGGUAUUCAGUCGAAUGCUAAGUCCUCUUCCUAAAGCAUCACAAACAUUGGUUUCAGGACAGCGCAGCACUUGUUUGGAACAAGGCAUUUUGCUCUGGGCUUGUGGGGUUUGUAGCAGAUCAUUAGACUCAUCUGUCCAUGGCUCUUUAUUUAAAAGAGGUACAACGGCAACGCUGGGUGGCCUUGGCUUAGGGAGAUUUUACCGGAGGAAUUUCUGCCAGGCUGGAAAGUCAAAGCUUCUUCCCCUGGAGGAUGAGUCUCUUGCCGAAGAGAAAGCUUACCCAGGAGGCUGCAUCUGCUGUGCUGCAGGAUGCAGGCUGACUGCCCAGGCCCUGACGAGUGAACUGUGAAUCUGAAACUGAAGAAAGAAAGUAAGGAGGAUGUCCCCGAGUGAGUCAUGUGGGUAAGUAGCCCUGUCACCUGAGCGUCUAGGUCUGGACACGGGGCAGUUACCAUCAUCAUACUUAUUGUGGGAUGUGCACUUGCCAACAGAUGCUGCUUCAACACACAGGUCUGUGAAGGGAGUUGGCCACCUAGGAUCCAAAUAGGAGGAAAAUUCUUUUUGGUGGGGCGAGGACUGACAUAGAUUAGGAAAUACUGAAAGCAACUGGGCAACACGCUUAGUGACAGGCUUUUCUGUGUGUGUGCAUGAAGCCGUGAGAAUACGCCAUGUGUGAUAUUGUGCUGGUAGAAGUAGAACGUGUUGAUGAAAUAGAACAGGUGAGGAGGGCAAGCUUCACUCAGCAGGAUUUGUGGACAGGCAGGAAGGAUGCAGGCAUGAGAAGAAAGGCUUGAAGGGACUGUGAUGUUGGCUCCCUUGAGACCAAAGAAUGUUCUAGAAUAGAAUUGGAAGGUUCGUACAUAGAACAGCCUGAGGUGGUGUUGCAAAGAGUUUGUGAUGCAAAGAGAAAACCCAGUGAAACAUCAUUCCUGAGAAAGCCUCGGCCGUAGGCUUGCCUGUCAUUUCUUUCUUCAGGAUAAUUUUCAAAGGGAAUGUCUAAAUGUUUGUGAACAUAUACUGUUUUCCUUUCCUUCAGCUCACAUUGCUUCAAAGGAAACAAUCAGAAAGGAGUCAAGAGAGGGGACAGCAUAGUCAUGUCUAAUUUUACACUGAUUACCCCGAGUCCUUCUCUAAACCCUGGAAUGUUUUCCAUUUCUCAUCGGAAAUGUUAGUAUCGCUGCCUGGCAUGUCAGAAAGUGGUAGAGAGAACAGUUUGGCCUAAUCAGUUUCAUUUUGCAUAGUAGAAACGCUCAAAGGAGAAUGUUUAAUUUAUUACCUUGUGAAAAACAAAGCUCUGAAUUAUAGAUUAUAAUUAUUUUUUAUGUGACUCUUUUCUGAAGGUUGUUUUGUUUUGUUUCUUUUUUUUGUCU